AAAGAAACCAACAGGGAUUACCUCAGUAACGGCGAGUGAAGCGGUAACAGCUCAAAUUUGAAAUCUCCCUUCCGGGCGAGUUGUAAUUUGUAGAAGAUGCUUUGGGUAUGGCCCCGGUCUAAGUCCGUUGGAACACGGCGUCAUAGAGGGUGAGAAUCCCGUAUGUGACUGGGUGCCUUUGCCUAUGUAAAGCUCUUUCGACGAGUCGAGUUGUUUGGGAAUGCAGCUCAAAAUGGGUGGUAUAUUUCAUCUAAAGCUAAAUAUUGGCCAGAGACCGAUAGCGCACAAGUAGAGUGAUCGAAAGAUGAAAAGCACUUUGGAAAGAGAGUUAAACAGUACGUGAAAUUGUUGAAAGGGAAGCGCUUGCAACCAGACUUGCACGCUGUUGAUCAUCCAGGCUUCUGUUUGGUGCACUCAACUGUGUUCAGGCCAGCAUCGGUUUUGGUGGUUGGAUAAAGGCCUUGGGAAUGUAGCUUCUUUCGGGGGGUUUAUAGCCCUCGGUGCAAUGCAGCCUACCGGGACCGAGGACCGCGCUCGGCUAGGAUGCUGCG
rnacentral:rRNA from 1 species